UACAGAGGUCUCAAGCGUUGUUCGGAUUCAUUGGGCGUAAAGGGUGCGUAGGUGGCAGGGUAAGUCGGAUGUGAAAUCCCGGGGCUCAACCUCGGAACUGCAUUCGAUACUGCUUUGCUGGAGUACUGGAGAGGAGAUUGGAAUUUACGGUGUAGCAGUGAAAUGCGUAGAUAUCGUAAGGAAGACCAGUGGCGAAGGCGGAUCUCUGGACAGUUACUGACACUGAGGCAGCGAAGGCCAGGGGAGCAAACGGG
rnacentral:rRNA from 1 species